rnacentral:rRNA from 1 species
GACGAACGCUGGCGGCGUGCUUAACACAUGCAAGUCGAACGGAAAGGCCCUGCUUUUGUGGGGUGCUCGAGUGGCGAACGGGUGAGUAACACGUGAGUAACCUGCCCUUGACUUUGGGAUAACUUCAGGAAACUGGGGCUAAUACCGGAUAGGAGCUCCUGCUGCAUGGUGGGGGUUGGAAAGUUUCGGCGGUUGGGGAUGGACUCGCGGCUUAUCAGCUUGUUGGUGGGGUAGUGGCUUACCAAGGCUUUGACGGGUAGCCGGCCUGAGAGGGUGACCGGCCACAUUGGGACUGAGAUACGGCCCAGACUCCUACGGGAGGCAGCAGUGGGGAAUACUGCACAAUGGGCGGAAGCCUGAGGCAGCAACGCCGCGUGCGGGAUGACGGCCUUCGGGUUGUAAACCGCUUUCGCCUGUGACGAAGCGUGAGUGACGGUAAUGGGUAAAGAAGCACCGGCUAACUACGUG